rnacentral:rRNA from 1 species
CUCCCCUAAAGUUCGGACGCACGCGCGCUACACUGACAGACCAACGAGUUAUUCACCUUGGCCGGAAGGUCUGGGUAAUCUUGUUAAACUCUGUCGUGCUGGGGAUAGAGCAUUGCAAUUAUUGCUCUUCAACGAGGAAUGCCUAGUAAGCGCAUGUCAUCAGCAUGCGUUGAUUACGUCCCUGCCCUUUGUACACACCGCCCGUCGCUACUACCGAUUGAAUGGCUCAGUGAGGCCUCCGGACUGGCUCGAAGAGGUUGGCAACGACCACUUCGAGCCGGAAAGCUGGUCAAACUCGGUCAUUUAGAGGAAGUAAAAGUCGUAACAAGGUUUCCGUAGGUGAACCUGCGGAAGGAUCAUUACCUAGAGUUGUAGGCUUUGCCUGCUAUCUCUUACCCAUGUCUUUUGAGUACCUUACGUUUCCUCGGUGGGUUCGCCCACCGAUUGGACAAACUUAAACCCUUUGCAGUUGAAAUCAGCGUCUGAGAAAACUUAAUAGUUACAACUUUCAACAACGGAUCUCUUGGUUCUGGCAUCGAUGAAGAACGCAGCGAAAUGCGAUAAGUAGUGUGAAUUGCAGAAUUCAGUGAAUCAUCGAAUCUUUGAACGCACAUUGCGCCCCUUGGUAUUCCAUGGGGCAUGCCUGUUCGAGCGUCAUUUGUACCUUCAAGCUCUGCUUGGUGUUGGGUGUUUGUCUCCUGUAGACUCGCCUUAAAACAAUUGGCAGCCGGCGUAUUGAUUUCGGAGCGCAGUACAUCUCGCGCUUUGCACUCAUAACGACGACAUCCAAAAGUACAUUUUUACACUCUUGACCUCGGAUCAGGUAGGGAUACCCGCUGAACUUAAGCAUAUCAAUAAGCGGAGGAAAAGAAACCAACAGGGAUGGCCUAAUAACGGCGAGUGGAACGGCCAC